AUCAGUCGAUUAAUAUUAUUAUGUAUAUGCUGGAGAUUGGUCCAGUGUUUCUACCAACUACCGUAAAGAGUUGACUACAUAAGUUCUAUGUGGUGAC
rnacentral:ncRNA from 2 species